rnacentral:rRNA from 1 species
CCUACGGGGCGCACCAGUGGGGAAUAUUGCGCAAUGGGCGCAAGCCUGAUGCAGCCAUGCCGCGUGUAUGAAGAAGGCCUUAGGGUUGUAAAGUACUUUCAGUUGGGAGGAAGGCGUUGAUGCUAAUAUCAUCAACGAUUGACGUUACCAACAGAAGAAGCACCGGCUAACUCCGUGCCAGCAGCCGCGGUAAUACGGAGGGUGCAAGCGUUAAUCGGAAUUACUGGGCGUAAAGCGCACGCAGGCGGUCUGUCAAGUCGGAUGUGAAAUCCCCGGGCUCAACCUGGGAACUGCAUUCGAAACUGGCAGGCUAGAGUCUUGUAGAGGGGGGUAGAAUUCCAGGUGUAGCGGUGAAAUGCGUAGAUAUAUGGAGGAACACCAGUGGCGAAGGCGGCUCUCUGGUCUGUAACUGACGCUGAGGCUCGAAAGCGUGGGGAGCAAACAGGAUUAGAUACCCUCGUAGUC